AUUGAACGCUGGCGGCAGGCCUAACACAUGCAAGUCGAACGAGUGGCGGACGGGUGAGUAAUGUCUGGGAAACUGCCUGAUGGAGGGGGAUAACUACUGGAAACGGUAGCUAAUACCGCAUACCAUCGGAUGUGCCCAGAUGGGAUUAGCUAGUAGGUGGGGUAACGGCUCACCUAGGCGACGAUCCCUAGCUGGUCUGAGAGGAUGACCAGCACAACUGGAACUGAGAAACGGUGCAGAGUCAUACGGGAGGAAGCAGUGGGGAAUAUUGCACAAUGGGCGCAAGCCGGAUGCAGACGUGCGGCGUGUAUGAAGAAGGCCUUCGGGUUGUAAAGUACUUUCAGCGGGGAGGCGUUACCCGCAGAAGAAGCGCCGGCUAACGCCGUGCCAGCAGGCGCGGAAAUAC
rnacentral:rRNA from 1 species